UUUUAUUUUACCAUUAAUUUUGAAUGACCGGACAAAUAUAAUACCAGGAUAAAUACAGGAUGAAGGAGACUAAACAUUUUCCAUAAACUCAAGCAAAUUCAACCAAAUUUUGGAAUUCAAGUACAGUAUGAAAGUUAAAUUUCCAUUUACAAUUCGAAGUGGGGUUUUUUUUAUUUUACCAUUAAUUUUGAAUGACCGGACAAAUAUAAUACCAGGAUAAAUACAGGAUGAAGGAGACUAAACAUUUUCCAUAAACUCAAGCAAAUUCAACCAAAUUUUGGAAUUCAAGUACAGUAUGAAAGUUAAAUUUCCAUUUACAAUUCGAAGUGGGGUAAGCAGAACACUUGUUUUACAAUUCGGCUUCUAAUUCAACCAAGUCCAUCGAAUUUUAUGAGUUUCAAACUUCGAUAAUCGUCGCUUAUCUACGAUUCCACAUUACACUGAAGCUUCAGUUGUAGGCCUACCGGG